rnacentral:lncRNA from 1 species
UAAGACUCCAUUGCAUGCUGAGAGAUGCUGACACGAGGAGCUGCUGGAAAUGAAAGGUGCAGGAGCACGGGUAACAGCCUAAGAAGAAAGUAUGCAGCUACCUGGGAGUAGAGAACUCUUGCAAGUAAACCUGUAGAGUAAGGACUUAGAGUGGAAUUGUUGUCUAUUUGCUGGUAAGUGCUUUAGAGUAUCCUGCU